GACGAGGUGCACAAACGUUAUUCGGAUUUACUGGGCUUAAAGCGUGCGUAGGCGGCCUGGCAAGUUGGGUGUGAAAUCCCUCGGCUCAACCGAGGAAUUGCGCCCAAAACUGCUGGGCUGGAGUGAGACAGAGGUGAGCGGAACUGAUGGUGGAGCGGUGAAAUGCGUUGAUAUCAUCAGGAACACCGGUGGCGAAGGCGGCUCACUGGGUCUCUACUGACGCUGAGGCACGAAAGCGUGGGGAGCAAACAGG
rnacentral:rRNA from 1 species